rnacentral:misc_RNA from 1 species
GAAACGCGAUAGUUAAUGUGAAUUGCAGAAUUCAGUGAAUCAUCGAGUCUUUGAACGCACAUUGCGCCUUUUGGUAUUCCGAGAGGCACGUCUGUCCGAGCGUCAGUAAAAACCCUUCCGGGUCGACGGUUUCCCUCGCGGGAAGUCGCCGGCCUCGGGACCCUGGCGAGGGGAUGUGACCGCCGCGCGGCCCUUACGGGUUGCGCGGGCAGGUUUCCCCCGCUUAAACGCGGAGAAAGCUAGCGGGCUACAAAGGCUCCACAAAUCGCGAUGACUCGUAAAAACCUUACCGUCGUUCAGCACCUUGUGGACCGGCCCCGCCUACCAACCACGUUCUUUUUUUUUUUUCCCUUCACCGGAAAAAGAAGAAAAACCUGACUCUUGACCUCGGAUCAGAUGA